AUUGAACGCUGGCGGCAGGCCUAACACAUGCAAGUCGGACGGUAGCACAGAGAGCUUGCUCUUGGGUGACGAGUGGCGGACGGGUGAGUAAUGUCUGGGGAUCUGCCCGAUCGAGGGGGAUAACCACUGGAAACGGUGGCUAAUACCGCAUAACGUCGCAAGACCAAAGAGGGGGACCUUCGGGCCUCCCACUAUCGGAUGAACCCAGAUGGGAUUAGCUAGUAGGCGGGGUAAUGGCCCACCUAGGCGACGAUCCCUAGCUGGUCUGAGAGGAUGACCAGCCACACUGGAACUGAGACACGGUCCAGACUCCUACGGGAGGCAGCAGUGGGGAAUAUUGCACAAUGGGCGCAAGCCUGAUGCAGCCAUGCCGCGUGUAUGAAGAAGGCCUUCGGGUUGUAAAGUACUUUCAGCGGGGAGGAAGGCGGUGAGGUUAAUAACCUCACCGAUUGACGUUACCCGCAGAAGAAGCACCGGCUAACUCCGUGCCAGCCGCCGCCGUAA
rnacentral:rRNA from 1 species